rnacentral:rRNA from 1 species
UACGUAGGUGGCAAGCGUUUGUCCGGAUUUAUUGGGCGUAAAGGGCGCGUAGGCGGCGCGGUAUGUCUCUUGUGAAAUCUCCAGGCUCAACUUGGAGUCUGCAAGGGAAACUGCCGUGCUUGAGUACUGGAGAGGUGAGGUAGGAACUUCCCGGUGUAGACGGUGAAAUGCGGUAGAUAUCGGGAAGGAACACCUGUGGCGGAAAGCGGCUCACUGGACAGUAACUGACGCAUGAUGGCGCGAAAAGCUAGGGGAGCCAAACA